GCACGCGUCGGGCGGUAGGAGAGUUACCGGGACGGAGGGCGAACCGGGCACCCCCUCUGGGACUGGGAAUUCGACCCCGCCCGACCUGGACGGCAUCGACCUGGACGUCGCCAUGACCCAGCACCUGCUCGUCGCCGCCGACAGGUACGACCUCACGAGGCUGCGCGCCAUAUGCGAGUCGAGGCUGUGCGACAUGGUGGACGUGGAGACGGCGGCGACGACGCUCGCGCUCGCCGAGCAGAACCACGCGCACGCGCUGAAACGAGCCUG
rnacentral:lncRNA from 1 species